ACACAAAAAUAAACGCUUUAUUCAUUCUAGAGAAAUAUAAAUUUAACAGAAUGCUUUGGGACUUUAUACGAGCAUCAUUGCAGUCGAACUGUGACACUUAUUGCAACAACAAUAGCGAUAAAAACAAAAAUUAAAUUAAAUAAAUAUAUUUUUCAACGUUUGAGUAAUUUAUAUAAGUAAUUGAUUAUUGAUAUGUGAUACUCGGUCAUUUAACUUGUCAAUUAAAUGGAUAAAUAAAUAAUUUAAUUAUCAAUUUAUUUAUUUAAUUAAUUAUUUUUAAUUUUUGAUUUUUUUUUUUUUUUUCAUUUUCAAGUGUGUAAAUUCAUUUUUUUUUUUUUUUGCCCAUGAUUUCUGGAAAUGAGUAGAGGACAAGUGGAUGCAUAUUGCAAAUAAAAAUUAAUUUAAAAAAAUAAAAAAAUUUAAAUUAUGACUGAGUGUAUGUUAUUUGUGAAAAAAUAAGUUAAAAAAAAAAAUCAAUUAAAAGCGUGGGAUAAUUUUUAAAGUUGAAUAAUGUGUUUUUAAUUUGAUAAAUAUUUUUAUUGUUUAUUAAAAGUGUUGUUUAACUAUUUGACUAUUAUUUUUUGUUGUUUUGAUUAUUGGAAUUUUUCAAUAUGACAAGUCAAUUUGACUUUAAUCCAAUGGAUCUUGCAAGUGUAUUUAGAAGAAAUAUCAAUGAAACCGACACAGAGAGUGAAAUGUCGAGGUUUUCACCACCACUGAGAAUGUUUGCAACAAUUGUUGCAAUAAUAAUAUUAUUAACUGGUCUUUUUGGUAAUUUAUUGACGAUAAUUGCUCUAUCAAGAUAUCCAAAAAUUCGUAAUGUCGCAGCAGCAUUUAUCAUAAGUUUAUGUGUUGCUGAUUUUAUAUUUUGCCUGCUGGUAUUGCCAUUUGAUUCAAUAAGAUUUGUCAAUGCAAGUUGGACAAAUUAUAGAUAUCUUUGUAUGGGUGUACCAUUUUUACGUUAUGGAAAUAUUGGUGUAAGUCUUUUGAGUGUUGGUGCAAUAACAAUAAAUCGUUUUAUCAUGAUAACUCAUCACAGUCUUUAUGCUAAAGUUUAUAAAAAACACUGGAUUGCCUUGAUGAUUGCCAUGUGUUACAUAUGCUCAUACGGAAUGCAAUUGCCAACAUUAACCGGUUCCUGGGGUAAAUUUGAUUACGAUGAAAAAUUGGGUACUUGUUCAAUUAUCAAGGAUGAAAAUGGUAGAAGUUCAAAGACAUUUCUUUUUAUAACUGCAUUUAUUAUUCCUUGUAUUGUCAUUGUUUGUUGUUAUACAAAAAUAUUUUGGGUUGUUCACAGUUCAGAAUCACGAAUGCGUAAACAUGCAAGUCCAACAAUAAAAUCACCACAUACACCAGGACGUGAUACAAGAGAAAUAAAACAAAGAAGAAGUGAAUGGAGAAUAACUAAAAUGGUAUUAGCAAUAUUUUUAAGUUUUGUUGCUUGUUAUUUGCCCAUUACAAUUGUCAAAGUAUCUGAUCCAGAUGUCAAUUAUCCAAAAUUUCAUGUGAUUGGUUAUCUUUUAUUGUACUUUUCAUCAUGUGUAAAUCCAUUGAUUUAUGUUAUAAUGAAUAAACAAUAUAGACAAGCAUAUGCUAAUAUAAUAAGUUGUUCAAAAAUAAGAGCAACAUUGACACCACAUGGUAGCAGUGCACCAGGACAUAACAACAUUGGCCAAGAGAAACUUAUAAAAAAUGGCGAUGUCGAAACGAAAUUCUGAAUAAUCUACAAUAAUUGAUGCAGCUUUUUUAAAAAAAAAUAAUUAAAAAUAAUAAAAAAGAAAAAAUGAAUUUUCGAUAAAUAAAUAACAAUCUGCUGAUUAAUUUUGAGUAUGAUGGAAAAUCAUGGAACCAAUAGACACAAAUAUUGCAUGUUAUUAAAUAUUGGAAAAUAAAAAAAGCUAGAUUAUUCAAAGGAUUACAGCAAGACAAUGGUGUCAACUGUUUCGAUCGCAUUGAAUCCAGUUAUCAGAAAAUCUGACCUCCAAGAUGAUUAAAUUUAAAAAAAAAAUUAAAUCA
rnacentral:misc_RNA from 1 species